rnacentral:SRP_RNA from 1 species
GCCUGGUGCAGUGCUGCAUGCCUAUAGGCCCAGUUACUCGGGAGGCUAAGGCAGGAGAUUCACUUGAGCCUAGGAGUUCUGGGCUGCAGUGCGCUAUGCUAAUCGGGUGCCUGUACUAAAUUGUGAACCAAUAAGGUGACCUCCUGGGAGCGGGAGACCACCAGGUUGCUAAGGAGGGGUGAACUAGCCCAGGCUGGAAACGGAGCAAGUCAAAACUCCCAUGCUGAUCAGUAGUGGGAUCAAGCCUGUCAAUAGUCACUGCACUCCAGCCUGAGCAACAUAGAGAGACCCCGUCAUU